UACGUAGGGGGCAAGCGUUGUCCGGAUUUAUUGGGCGUAAAGAGCGUGUAGGCGGCCAUGCAGGUCCGCUGUGAAAACUGGAGGCUUAACCUCCAGACGUCGGUGGAAACCGCAUGGCUAGAGUCCGGAAGAGGAGAGUGGAAUUCCCGGUGUAGCGGUGAAAUGCGCAGAUAUCGGGAAGAACACCCGUGGCGAAGGCGGCUCUCUGGGACGGUACUGACGCUGAGGUGCGAAAGCGUGGGGAGCAAACAGG
rnacentral:rRNA from 1 species